CAUACUACGCGAUGGGAUGCAGUGAGAAUGCCACUGUGGCAGACUUCAAGGAAUCCGUCUACAGUUGAGAAUUGAUGCUCAAUAUCAAAUAACAUAUAUUUUUUAAAGGAGCUUUCAUCCAGCUGCUUUGCAGGAAUGGAAAUGAUUCAGAUCGGCACAGCAGAGCAGCUGGCAAACGUGUGGCGAGCCGGCAUUUGCCCCAACACUUAAUCUGUGCUUCAGUCUGAUCAACUGUAGCCUACUGAUAACAACCACAGCUGCAGGUUCCUACAAGAAUCAGCCAUCUGAGAAUCCAUGAAGAACAUUUAAAACUCAGGUGCUUCUAUGGAUGUUCCGGACAGUGUGGCCUGUCGGUCAAUGAACAGAUGCCAUGGAUCCUGCUUUUCUUGUUGUGUCACAGCUUUUUGAUUGGUUAUAAUGUUUUGGGAAUAUCUAGAUAUAAUCAACUUUUCAAUGUCUCUAAAAGAGCACUGUGGUUGUAUAUUUAUUUAUAAUGUGCAUCCACCCCUGUAGACACUGCACUAAUUCUGUCAUUCUAUCAUUCUAUGUACCUGUGUCUCCCUCCUGUCCCCCGCUGUCUCCCUCCUGUCCUGUCCCCUCCCCUCGGCCUAGCCUUUAGUAAAUACAUCUGUCAGCUCGGCUCACACUCACGCACUCACUGCGGUCCUGCUCGCCUCGGUGAACAUUCAACGCUGUCGGUGAGUUUGGUAUGGAUCACAUAAAAACCAUCGACCGUUGACUGUGCCCCGUGGCCUGCCCUGACCACUUCAGAAUAGAGUUGAAGAAUUGGUGCGGUUAUGAUGGACGAAAACCUCCUGGAGGGAGGUGGAUGUGUACAAACACACACAUGCCACAGGCUAUCUUUCUUUCUUUGACUACAAGCACGCACGCACACACACACACAC